rnacentral:piRNA from 1 species
UGGCUUACGUUGCACCCUCGGAUCUGGACU